GGACCCUUUUACCUCAUUUUGGGACCCUUUUACCUCAUUUUGGGACCCUUUUACCUCAUUUUGGGACCCUUUUACCUCAUUAAGCCCCCCUCACCUCACACCGGGACCCCCUCUCCCACAUUUUAGGACCCCCCGGCACCGUUUCAGCCCCCCUUUUCCUCGCACCGGGGGCCUUUUCCACACUUAACCCCCCCUUUCCCUCGCACCGGGUCCCCGUUUCCCCCCUUUUACCCCCCCCUCACCUCGGCGCUGCCCCGUCCCCCGCCGGCCGCUUCCCGCCCUUUGCCCGGGGAGGCGGGAAGGGACCGGGGGGGGUGGGGGCGGGGCCGCCGGUACCGGAGGAAGAAGGGGAGGGGAGAGGGGGGGAGCCGCGGUGCCACGGGGGUGUGUUGGGGGGGGAGGGGGGGGGAGGAGGCUCCUCCCGCUCCGCCGCCGCCGGCCUCGGCCUCAGCCCCGCCGCGGAUCCGCCGCCAUCCGCCGCAAAAUGGCGGCCGGCUCCCGCCCCGCCGCUCUCCCUUCCCCAACCCCCCCUCCCCCCACCCACCACCUCCCUCCCCUCUGCCCGCCGCCGGCCUCCGGCCCGUGCCCGCCCCCGCCGCCGCCGCCGCCGCCCGGGCCCCCCCCCGUAGAGGGGCUCACGGGAAAUGGAGUCCGCGGCGCCCGAGCCAGCGGCAAAAUGGCGGCGGCCACCGCCGCCGCGCCGCGCUCCCGCGAGAAGGGGGCGGGGCCUGCGGCUCUCGCGAGACUUCGCGCGGGGGGAGACGCGGCGGGGAGGGGAGGUCUCGCGAGGGUUGGGGAGCGCGGGAGGCGGGAGCGGGGGGGGGGAGGAAGAUGGCGGGAGGCGCGUGGCGCGCGGGAACGCCCCCUGGGCGGCGCCUGCGCGGGAGUUGGGGCAGGGUCUCGCGAGAGGUGGGCGAGGGGGGUGAUGGGAAAUGAAGUCCGGCGGGGAGGUGGAGGACUCUGGAUGGGCCAUGGGGGGGCAGCCCCGGGGCAUGAUGGGACGGCGGCCAUCUUGGAUUAGGGCGAGAGGCUCAUGGGGUGGCGGCCAUCUUGGGUCAGCCUCGGGGGAGUCAUGGGAAGGCGGCCAUAUUGGGUAUGGGCAAGAGGCUCAUAUGGGAUGGCAGCCGUCUUGGGUCACGCCUAGAGGAUCAUGGGAUGGUGGCCAUAUUGCAUUAGGGCAAGAGGCUCAUCGGAUGGUCGCCAUGUUGGGUCAGCCCCAGGGGCUGAUGGGAUGGCAGCCAUCUUGGAUUAGGGCUAGAGGCUCAUGGGAUGGCAGCCAUAUUGGGUCAGCCGCAGGGGAUCAUGGGGUGGCAGCCAUAUUGGGUAUGGGCAAGAGGCUCAUGGGAUGGCAGCCAUAUUGGGUCAGGCCUGGAGGAUCACGGGAUGGUGGCCAUCUUGGGUUAGGGCCAAAGGCUCAUGGGACGUCAGCCAUCUUGGGUCAGCCCCAGGGGCUGAUGGAAUGGCAGCCAUCUUGGAUUAGGGCUAGAGCCUGAGGAGGGGGCUGCAAUGUUGGAGCAGACCUGGGGGAUCAUGGGAAGGCAGCCAUGUUGGGUGAGAGCUUGAGGCUCAUGGGAAGGCAGGCAUGUUGGGUCAGGGCUAGAGGCUUAUGGGAUAGCGGCCAUGUUGGGUCAGCCCAGGGAGGGUCAUAGGAGGGCAGCCAUAUUGGGCCAGUCCCAGGGGCUCCUGGGAGGUCCCAACCCCCCCUAAACACCCCCAUUUUGGGGGUCCCCAGCCCCCAUCACCCCCAUUUUUUUGGGGGGUGAUGCUAUGGGGCACUGCCCCAUAACCCCAAAGCCCCCCCAUAGGACCAUAUGAUCCCCCCAGUCCCCUAUAGUCCCCCAAGCCCCUAUGGGACCCCCCAAACUUUAGGGGAGCCCCCCCAGGCACCAACCAAUGGGGUCACAGGAGGGGGGUGGGGAUGUGACAGCUCCAUGGCAACAGCCCCCACCCCUAUGGGACUGCCCCUACAGCUACCCCCAUACCCUAGGGGUCCCUUUAGCUGCCCCUAUAGACCCCCUGUACCCCACGUGUUCCCUAUAGCCCCUGUAGGCCGUGUCCCCUACAGUCCCCAUGACCCCAUGGGCCCCCUAUAGCCCCCCCAUACCACCUCGUGGUCCCUGCAUCCCCCCCACCCCCACAAAACCCCUCAGGCCCUAUAGCACCCAUGCACCCCUAUAGCUCUCAUAUCCCCUAUAGCCAAUGUAACCCCUAUAGCCCCAAUGUGACCCUAUAGACUGUGACCCCUAUAGACCCCUCAAAAUUCCCCUAUAAGCCAUGUGACCCCUGUAGACCCAUGACCCCUAUAGCCUCCCAAAUCCCCUACAGCCCACGUGACCCCUAUAGCCCCCCCAAAUCCUCUAUAGUCACCCAUAUCUAAAAUAGCCCAUAUGAUCCCUAUAGCCCCCCCAAUCCUCUAUAGCUCCCCAAAUCCCUUAUAGCCAGCAUCACCCCUAUAGCUCCCCCAAUCCUCUAUAGGCCCCCACAUGACCCCUA
ensembl:lncRNA